UAGGGAAUUGGUGGUCUUAAAUGAAUCCAGCUGAGCUCAACUACCAACCAGUGGCGACGUUCGAGAAGUUCGAAAAGGACAACUACAGAAUGGAGAAAGGAACUCCAUCGCGGCAGUUUUUGGCGGGAGUGAUAGGUUCUAUAUUCUAAUACCAGCAACCAUUUCAAUUGACUGUUGAAACGACGCUGUGGCUGACUUGCUAUAAAGUUCAUUCGCUCCGAUGAGUACAGACGAACCACUCACGACUCUUCACACCUAACUAUCCAGAGGACGAUCACAUUACGAACAGUAAUCAAAAUAAACUGGACGAUACUAAUUACUCGACGUUGGAACAUUACCGCUGAAUUAUACAAACGAUGAACGACUUCUAUGGACAACGACAAUAAUUGUUGACGGCAAGACACCAAUAGCUUAAUACGAUUUAUGGCAACGAUGAUGACCUACGGCCUACACAUACACUCGUCGCCUCGUUCUAUGGAUUGUAAUCCUAAUUCAACCAGGUGCACAAUGUCGGACAUCGUUGCCCGCACGAAGAUCACUCGCGGAGAAAACACCCAAUGUUUUUCCUUGCUUAUCCGCCAGCUCAUAAGAACUGCUACCACGCUUGGCAACUAUGGUGCAAGGGAUGAACAGCGGUCCAUACUUCGCAUUGUAGUGUUCAGAUGCGGACGACUGGCGAAAAUUACGCUUGUAAACAUUUUGGCCAAUUUCAAACGUCGGGGCCUCCUUCCUGAAACCUUCUGGCGCAAUCUACGUCGCUUCACAUCACGAGAAUCACCAAUUUUGAACGGAACCUGGCGUACUGCAAGUUCGUACUCCACCUCAUCUACCAGCAGAUGACCCGCGUUCAUCAACUGAUACUUUAGAUUAAAUUCAGCAUCCAUGCUACAAAAUUCAAUACAACAAAAUUCAAAGCAAUUUCAAAUUAACAUACAAAUAAACAACAACAAAAAUAAGAAAAAUAAAAAUGCUAAUGUUAAAUUAAGACUAUAGUAGACGAAUUCAAAAUUUCAAAUUCAAUACGAUUUCUCUUAGAUACUUAAUAAGGUAGUAAUUAAAAUGAAAUAAUGUAAGUGUUUGUGUAGUGUGGUGGAUAGUUAAAUUUCAUUCAGGACCUUUUU